rnacentral:rRNA from 1 species
AUUGAACGCUGGCGGCAUGCCUUACACAUGCAAGUCGAACGGCAGCACGGGUGCUUGCCCCUGGUGGCGAGUGGCGAACGGGUGAGUAAUACAUCGGAACAUGUCCUGUAGUGGGGGAUAGCCCGGCGAAAGCCGGAUUAAUACCGCAUACGAUCUACGGAUGAAAGCGGGGGACCUUCGGGCCUCGCGCUAUAGGGUUGGCCGAUGGCCGAUUAGCUAGUUGGUGGGGUAAAGGCCUACCAAGGCGACGAUCAGUAGCUGGUCUGAGAGGACGACCAGCCACACUGGGACUGAGACACGGCCCAGACUCCUACGGGAGGCAGCAGUGGGGAAUUUUGGACAAUGGGCGAAAGCCUGAUCCAGCAAUGCCGCGUGUGUGAAGAAGGCCUUCGGGUUGUAAAGCACUUUUGUCCGGAAAGAAAUCCUUGGCUCCAAUACAGUCGGGGGAUGACGGUACCGGAAGAAUAAGCACCGGCUAACUACGUG